UUGUUGUGUUAAUCUUUUAGGAUCACUAACUUGUUGGAUCAAUUUGUUAUAUUCAGUGAGGAAUUGAUGGUGCACGAGGACGAGCUUCCUAGACAAGAAGAUCUCUUUGCUCUUGUCGGUGAUGCAAAGUUGAGAUCGCGUAUACUGAUUCUGGACACCGAUUCUUGGUGUUGCUACGGAUCGUCUACAUUGAUUCUGCACACUGAAGAGAUGGGGUUUCAAAUCAGCAAGAUAGCCGGCAUGUCUGAUAAGAGUGUCAUUUGAUACGGGAAAGUACUACUGUUUUCAUUUGUAAAAGAUACAAAUGGGUUAAUCUGGCAAUUCUAUUACAGUACUUGAUUACCUUACCUGAUGUUAAGAAGCUGAGUGGUUAGUGCAAAAUAACUUUGAGAUCACCUCCUUUUGCAAUUCUGAACAAUU